UACGGAGGAUCCGAGCGUUAUCCGGAUUUAUUGGGUUUAAAGGGUGCGUAGGUGGAUUGGUAAGUCAGUGGUGAAAGUUUGCAGCUUAACUGUAAAAUUGCCGUUGAAACUGCCGGUCUUGAGUGCAAAUGAGGUAGGCGGAAUGCGUCGUGUAGCGGUGAAAUGCUUAGAUAUGACGCAGAACUCCGAUUGCGAAGGCAGCUUACUGGGAUGCAACUGACGAUGAGGCACGAAAGCGUGGGUAUCAAACAGGAUUAGAUA
rnacentral:rRNA from 1 species